GACGAACGCUGGCGGCGUGCUUAACACAUGCAAGUCGAACGGUGAAGCGCCUUCCUUUUUGGUGGGUGUGGAUGAGUGGCGAACGGGUGAGUAACACGUGAGUAACCUGCCCCCUUCUUCUGGAUAACCGCAUGAAAGUGUGGCUAAUACGGGAUAUUCUGGGUCUGUCGCAUGAUGGGUCUGGGAAAGAUAUUGUUUCGGUGGGGGAUGGGCUCGCGGCCUAUCAGCUUGUUGGUGGGGUGAUGGCCGACCAAGGCGGUGACGGGUAGCCGGCCUGAGAGGGUGGACGGUCUCACUGGGACUGAGACACGGCCCAGACUCCUACGGGAGGCAGCAGUGGGGAAUAUUGCACAAUGGGCGCAAGCCUGAUGCAGCGACGCCGCGUGAGGGAUGGAGGCCUUCGGGUUGUGAACCUCUUUCGCCAGUGAAGCAGGCCUGCCUCGUUUGUGGGUGGGUUGACGGUAGCUGGAUAAGAAGCGCCGGCUAACUACGUG
rnacentral:rRNA from 1 species